rnacentral:lncRNA from 1 species
AAAAGUGUUAUUUCCAGUGAACAGUUGUGACCACAAGCAUGUGCCUGAUCAUUAGAAGUAUUAUUAACCACCUAAAAGUCAGUAACUGUCAAUGCAUCCGGCAUGGCUACAAAAUAACUGCCACACGUCCAUUCCACCGCUAAAAAACAACAUCCAGACAUCACAAAACGAGCGAUCGGUCGAGUAACUCAGCUGGAGUUCGGAUUUGGCCGAGUACGCAGGAGUUUGGUUAUGGCCUGAGUCCAUUAUACACGCAUUUAAGGGAAGAGUGGAGCCUGCAACUUUAACCAACACAUUUAAGGGAAGAGUGUUUUCAAAGCGCCUACAACUUUAACCAACACGCCACGGAAACUUCUUUGUAGACAAAAGUAUACGUGUAGUUUUAUAGUACCUUUUAUUACAAAAUAUAGAACUCAAAUCAUCCCCCAUUAAGAACCUUAAGGGCGGCGGAUUUUGUUUUUUUAACUUCAACUGUAUUCGGUGAGUUAACUCGGCUCGGACAAAGGUCGAGUACCUUGAAUCUUUUUUCUAAACCCCAGUUGAGAGUGUUUUCACAUUGUAGUAGUAGCUACGCAUAUACAAAAAGGAAAAGUAUUCAAUGAGACCAUUUACCUUUGGUACAAGGUUGUCAUAAUUAAUCUUGACUAUUAGAUGUGAAAUUAGAU